UUUAUUUAAUAACAUUAUCUUUAAGGUCCCUUCCAACCCAAACCAUUCUGUGAUUCUAUAAUAAAAAUUUCCAAAUACAAAACUAAAAUAGAAUGCUAAUUGGGAACAAUUAAUUAUAACAAUACCUUAUUGUAAUUGUGGGAGCUGCAAUACUCCUAAUUUGAUUUCUAAUUCAUAAUAGAACAUCACAAUUAAGGAGAGUAAUUAAUCUUUUCUUCUGUCUCAGCCUCUGCUUUUGGCAGUCUGUCUCCUUUUCCUUUUUCCUGCAGCUGCAGAGAGCCGUGAUCCUCCCUGGGCGCUAGUCAUUCACUCACUGAAUUUGGUAAUAGCAAAUAAUUUAACGAGAGCGUUAAAGAAAUAUAUUAUUACCCAAUAAAGUAACUCGAUUAAAUACACCGAAGGACACACGCGCACCCCCACGCAACACCCACCGAGCCCGGCACUGGCACCGGGCCCGCAGGGAAACGACCCGGAGGCAGAACCAGACGCAGCGAGAGGGACCCACCCGCGGCAGCAGCGGCCGCUACCGCCGGUACCCGCAGCGGGAGGCCCUGGGCCACGGAGAAACGCCCUGGCGGAGGCUAGGCCGGCGCCGAGCCUAGAGAACUGCGGCUGGAGGGUAAACCGGCACUGCCGGGGCUCCGCCACCCGGAGCGGCUUCUCGGCGACGGAUGGAUAUUCCCAGCCGGCCCGCAGCGAGAGCCGCCGCCACCCGGUACCGAGAGCGGCCAUCAGCACUCCGGGAGCGGCUCUCACCACGCUCCAGAGACGCCCGGAAGUGCCCGUCAGUCCUCCAAAACGUGCACUCUAUGGUCCGGCCGUCCUCCAGCUACUGGAAGUGCCUGUCAGUCCUCCGGAGAGAGCGCUCUAUGGGCCGGCAGUCCUCCAAAACUACAGAAAAAGGUCGAAACCUGCAACUACAAGAAAAAAUAAUAAAAAAUAAAGACCCCAGAACUUCUCUCAGGUUUUACGGACGCCUCAGUGAGGCUCUGCUGCCUUCCAGAGCGCGCCGGACUGCGAGUGGGGAUAAGGCAGAGAAAAAGAGGCCCUGCAUCGGUGCUGUGUGUUUUACUGUAAUUACUGGCUUUAUUGAAGAUAGAAUUCUGUGUUUUUCUCCAGUUUUGCUCCACACUGUAUGCAGAGGGACAAGCUGCGUAGGAGGAGAGCGGAGUACCAAAAGAAGGUGCGGUGUGUUUUCCUGGAAUCCCUGACUGUAUUGAAGAUGGAACUUCGGGUUUUUUUUUCUUCCACUGGUUUUGCUGUAUCCCUGAGGGAGAGGAGGAAGCUGGUGACUGCAGGAAUGCAUUGGAUGGCUGUUUUUUGUGGGCUGCCUCAAGGAUGGAUUUGGAUGCCGCCUGGCCCUCCAAAAGCUAAGCUGAGAAAACUAAGUAUUUCAGACAAAAUCUCCAAAAUUAAGCACUUUGAUCCACCUACAGAAUGCGUGAAUAGAGAGGGUCCUCUGGUGACUGUCGAUAGUCCUCCUCACCGUGUCCGCUGAUUGAACUCAGUCUUCACACACACUCAACAGAGCUUUUGGAAUCCAACCCAGCCACUCUAAGUCUUUCCUAGCCUGAUGAGCCUGGAUGCCCUUGAGUUCUAGGGAAGAGCCAGAUGCCUAAACCAGCAGGCUUCUGUCUACCGGACCCUGGUACACUCUUGGUGUGCACCGAUGAGCUUGCAGCUCAACAGGAAUUGCCGCUGCAUCCAGCUCCGGUCCAGUAUUCCCCAUUCUACCUGCAUGAAUUCCCCCCAGCAGCACAAGCCACAGCUGCCUGUGUUAAACCGAGCUCUGAAAGGCAGCAGGACAUCAAACACAACCCUGUCUGUCAGCUCGAUGGAUGAGACACCGCUGCCUUAAGCACCUCGCUCCCAGGGCCGGGAAAUGCAGCACUGCUUUAAUCCACUUCCAAAACCCCCUCUGCUCUCAGCGCCACUGUACAGUUACACCCAGGAGCUGCCUCCACGGCCCCCAUCCGUGGGAGCGGGACCCAACACCUUCUCACCCCCAGCCCGGAGCACCGAAACCCGCUGGGGCACACGUGGGCAUCUGCGGGAGCAACACUACCUCAGGGAAUGAGAAGAGAUCUGUACCCCUUUCUAGGCCAAAACUAAAGCUGGGAGGAACAAAAGCACUAAACCGAAGCUCCUACCCAGGCCCAGACCACAACAAGCAGGGAGAGCGGCUUUCUCUGAAGGGCUCCGAGUUGCUUUCCAGGUUUUCAUGGCAUUGGGCUGACCCUUCCCUCUCCGAACAUCUUCUAGGAGCACAUAUAAACACACAGCCAUCUGCUCAGAGAAAAGGCAUGACGCUGGUGCCCACAACCACCUCCCUGGGGUGACCCCAGCUCUGAUCUCCUCCACUGCUGGCACGCUCCCUGCACUGGACUGUGCUUCCAAGCAAGGAUUUGCCACUAGAAACCACAGUGGCUCUGGCCACAAGAAGUUCCCCCCUGCAGCUCUGGCCAUUAAGAGAUGCUGCAAACACUGGCAGUGUCAGAAAACUAAUGGAAACCAGCUGACAACAGUGUCUGAGCUGAUUCACCUGCUCAUUUUACCCAGGAAAGCAUGUCAUGGCAGUAGGAGAUACUUACUAACACCUGCCCACUCAUAACAGCACUGGCCCUACCAAAAGCCAACUUUUUUAAGCUUGCUGUGCCAAAAAUCCACCAAGGAGGCACUCUGUGAGGACACUGGCAUUGUCCUUCUCUAACAACGACCACAUCUAUGGCCAACCAGAGCCACGCCGACACCCCGAGCCAUGCCAGACACACAGCUACCGGUAACACCAAGCUGCCCAAGCCCAAUUUUCACCUCCUAGAGCCAGCGAUGGAUGGCGAGAGCUUGGCUGUCCCCUCCGCAGGGGUCACGGCAGCACAAACUGAGGGGCUGUGAGCAUCCACCUGGUCCCCGAGCGCCCUGAGAUGCAUGGCCGAGGCUUACCUUGUCUCUUCAGCGAGGAGGCGACGGCCGGCUUCUUCAGGCUGCUUCUCCUGGCAUUGCCGUGAGCCGGGUCUUGCACCAGGAGGGGGCUGGCCACCUGUACCCCUGAGAAAUUGGUUCAAAGAGUGUCAGUGCACAAGUCCUGGGAUUCCUGGGACACCCCAUGCGGGUUGGGAUGGAGAAAUCCCCUCUCUCCUCAGAGUGGGCUGUCACCAUGGCUCUUAACAUCACUAACGAUUGUUAAAAGACCCACCGGACUCAGGGCAGGAGUGUGCCCAACAGCCAGAGCCCCUCCGAAAGCUCCCACCGGCACUGGACGCGAGUCCAGCAGGUCAUGGUGGGGCUGCCCCUCCUGCUGGACAAAGGCUUUUGGCUUCGACCCGUCUUUGCCCCCCACACUUCUGUGGGACCGCCCCACCCACCCCCUGAGAGCCCCCCAGGAUCUUCUGGGACCCCUCAUGUUCCCCCCAGGGCUCCCUGGAGACUUCUGGGACCCCUCUAGGACCCCCUGGAGCCCUCUGGGUCGCUCUGACACCUGCUGUAGGAUCCCCUAGAGCCCCCCAGAGCCCUCUGGGACCCACUGGAGCCCACCCUGGUAUCCCCUGCAUCCCCCUGGGGCCCUUCUGUGACCUCCCCCCAACCCCAUGAGAGCCCCUCAGAGUCCUCCAGGACCCCCUGGGACCCUUUGUCUUCCCCUAGGACUCUCUGGGACCCUCAUGGGACCCCCCUGAAUUCCUCCAGGACUCCCUCCAGCACCCCACAGAUCGCCCCCAGGAUGCCCCAGAGACCUCUGUGACCACCUGGAGUGCCUCCUGUUACCCCCCACGUCCCAUUGGGACACCCCACACCUCCUGAGAGCGCCCCCAGUGCCUUCCAGGAUCUCCUGGAGCCCCCUGGGAUCCUCAUACACAACCCCUCUGGAGCCCUCCAGGACCCCAUGAACUUCUCAUAUUCCCCCAGGACUCUCUGGAGCCUUCUGGGACCCUCCACAGUCCCCCUCAGACCCUCCCACACACCCCCCAGAACACCCCAGAGUCCCCUGGGUCACCCCAGGACACUCCAGAACCCUCUGGAGCCCCCUGGUCCCCCCCACAUCCCACUGCAACCCCCGUUACACCUGUUUCCCCCUCCCAGGGGACACCAGCUCCUGCCAAAUGCUCUGGGACUGCUGGAGCCUGACAGAGCAUCUCGGCAAAGGAGAGAUGAGUGAGUGAGAGAGGAACCGAGUGGGGACCCCCUGGAUGCGGAGAGGAAGAUAAAAGAGCUGCGGAGCAGAGAACGAUGGGAGCUCUGAUGGGAUGAGAGAGGGGAAGGGAGAUGAAGUGCCACAAGGUGCCUCAGAGAUGGAGGAAGGUAUUGUCUCUAAAGCAUUAAAAAGAGGCAACUGAAUGUAACAAGCUUUUUUCUUUCCUCCCUGAUAUUUAGACGGCGUGCUCUGAAGUACUUUAUUUCUGUUUGGCUUUCAGCGGCGCGUUACCCCGGCAGCCCAGUAGCAUCUCUCUCGGGCAGUGCCACUGGCCAGAUGUCCCUCCUCCUUGCGUAGCACACAAAAAAACCUUGCAGACCAAUUGUAACUAUGUAUUUUAGAGAGAGAGUGUGUCAUGGUAUCAAUUCGCAGCUGUGCAAGUGAAAUUAGUGCCAGAGGAAAGUCAAAUACUUCUAUAGUGUAAGUAUUUUUAUUUGGUGUACAUAAACCUAACACCUUUUUACCGAAAGGGAAGGGACGAAGCAUUUCCCAACGCCAGUGAGGAGGUUACUGUUACGCUAAGAACGUGUUCAAAAUGGCAUUGGUUAGCUUUAAUCCUGACUUCAAGAGUUGAGCUGGCGCUGGCUUUUGCAGGCUGUGCUGUGUUUGGAGCUGAGCUGUUUCCCCAGAAUCCUCCUGUAUCUCAGCUCCUGUCCUGUCCCUCUGAUGGAAUUCCUCUACUCUCUUCCAGGCUAUUUUUUAAGAUACUGAGCUAUAACUGGGGAUUUUUGUUUUCCAGGUGCCUCAGUGUAGGCGUCUCAUGCUGCUCGAGAGAUGCCCCAGGCCAGGUUUGCAGCUGGUGGCGGAGGCCCCCUGAGGGGGAAGGGGCCAGCCCUGGGUCUGUGUGUUUUGGGACUUUUUUGGGGGGGAAUAGAAGGGUGUCUGUCUGUGUCUUGGGGCGUGAUGGUGUCAUUUGGGACACUGCGACGUCACCAGGGCAGCGAUGAUGCAGCGGAGGAGCAGGUGAGUGGGGGAUGGGGGGGGGGUUACAUGAGCACCUCCCAAAAGAGGUGGUUCACAGCCCCAAAACAUCUGAAAAUUCUUGGGAUGCAUUAAAAAAUGUGAGAACCUGUAACUAUGGGUGUGAGGCACUGAA